rnacentral:lncRNA from 1 species
UCCGGGGGCUGCCGCUGGGUCUCACGCGGUCGUCGGGCAUAAACUUAAACAGAGCCACUAGGAAAAAAAGAAAGGGGGAGGAGGAGGAGGUCGAGAUUACCCGUCUGAUCGAGAUCUGACGGACUGCUGACGGUCUGGCCCGGGGGGGUGCGCCUGAGGCGGCUUGGCUUGGCUUGGCUUGGCUCGUCGCGUGUUCUCGGAGAUGGGAGGCGUCAGGGUUGGCACUUGGGGAGCGGCCCCCCGCAGAGGCAGUGGUUGUUGGCGAAGGAGGAGGACUGGAGGUGGUCGAAGGGCUCCCCCGCGGGGAUCUGGCCGCAGAGGUUGUUGUUGCUGAGGUCGAGGUGGCCGACGUAGGAUGCCAGUUUCAGCGUCUUGGGGACGGGGCCUGUCAGACGGUUGUAUGACAGGUCCAGCGCCGUGUAGUAGGACUGCGCGACAAAGGCGUCCGGGAUGGUUCCUUCCAGCGCGUUCCGGCUCAGAUUCAGAAUGUUCAGGCCGUGGCUGGAGAGGAGUGUCGGCGGGAUCGGUCCGGAGAGGGCGUUGCAGUCCAGGUACACCGACGACAGCACUCGCAUCUUCCCGAGCGUGUUCGGGAUCCUCCCGCUGACUCGGUUACUGGACAGGUCCAGAUCGGCGAGCCGUUCCAUGUAUCCGAUCGAGGGGGGGAUGGCGCCGGUGAUCUGGUUCCUCGCAAGCAGCGCUCUACUCAGCAUUCCAAGUUUCCCGAACGUCACCGGGAUGUCGCCGGUGAUGCGGUUGUUGCUCAGGUCGAGGUGCAUCAAGGAAGCGAGGUUGGGGAGGGAUCGCGGGAUCUGGCCGGAGAUCUGGUUUUCGGCGACGGAGAGGACUGUG